CCCCGAGCUGCUCCGGAACAAUCGACAGGCAGGGGCAGGCCAGCUGCCUCUCGUGCGCCGGGCGAUCGCUGCGCUGCGUCGGCAGCGAGAGCUGCACACCCACCACCUGCCAGCAGAGGCCCCGCACUUCUUCAGGCCCACGCUGCAACCGAGAUAAGUGCUCCAUCGAUUCCGCGUGCCACCAGGACUUUGAUGAGGCUUGGCAGCUAGCGACAGGAGCAAUGCUAUGCAGCUAGAAGAGUCCACCUGCUGCAGCUACUGGGGAUGGAGCCAGCCCAGCCCAGAAGGCCCAUCGGAGUCUGAGCCGCCUUCACCUGCCACCCCAGCUUCUUUGCCCUCCCCUUUGCAAGGAAAUAAACCUUCGUAAUCGCA